GUCCUUGCCGUAACGAUGUGGAUUAGGUGUUGGAGGUGUCGAUCCCUCCAGCGCCGACGCUAACGCAUUAAAUCCACCACCUGGGGAGUACGGUCGCAAGACUGAACUCAAGAAUUGACGGGGACCCGCACAAGCGGUGGAGCAUGUGGUUUAAUUCGAGGCUACGCGAAGAACCUUACCCAGGCUUGAAAUGUAUUUGACAGCCCCAUGAAAGUGGGUCUUCUCGCAAGAGACAAUUACACAGGUGCUGCAUGGCUGUCGU
rnacentral:rRNA from 1 species